rnacentral:rRNA from 1 species
CGGUAAUUCCAGCUCCAAUAGCGUAUACUAAAGUUGUUGCAGUUAAAAAGCUCGUAGUUGGAUUUCUGCGGGGACGGAGCGGCCGGUCGCAACUUGCGACUCGAGCUAGCGCUUUCCCCGCAUCCUGCCGCGAACCGUGCUACCAUUAGCUUGGUGGCGCUGGGGAUCGGCUCGAUUACUUUGAGAAAAAUAGAGUGUUCAAAGCAGGCCACACGCCUUGAAUAAGUUAGCAUGGAAUAAUGACUAAGGACUUCGGUUCUAUUUUGUUGGUGUUCGGGACUGAAGUAAUGAUUGAUAGGGACAGUUGGGGCGGUCUGUAUUCCAAAGCGAGAGGUGAAAUUCUUAGACCUUCGGAAGACAAACAGCUGCGAAAGCGUUCCGCAAGGAUGUUCCCUUUGAUCAAGAACGAAAGUUGGGGGAUCGAAGACGAUCAGAUACCGUCGUAGUCUCAACUAUAAACUAUACCAGCUAGGGAUCGGUCAACGUUUAAUCAUUCGACUUGAUCGGCACCUUAUGAGAAAUCAAAGCAUCUGGGUUCCGGGGGGAGUAUGGUCGCAAGGCUGAAACUUAAAGGAAUUGACGGAAGGGCACCACCAGCCGUGGAGCCUGUGGCUUAAUUUGACUCAACACGGGAAAACUUACCAGGUCCAGACAUAGUAAGGAUUGACAGAUUGAUAGCUCUUUCUUGAUUCUGUGGGUGGUGGUGCAUGGCCGUUCUUAGUUGGUGGAGUGAUUUGUCUGGUUAAUUCCGUUAACGAACGAGACCCCAGCCUGCUAAAUAGCGCGGUUGAGCUUUGCUCGAUGCGAGCUUCUUAGAGGGACUAUGAUGCGCGAUAGCACAUGGAAGUUUGGGGCAAUAACAGGUCUGUGAUGCCCUUAGAUGUUCUGGGCCGCACACGGGCUACACUGGCGCCUGCAACGAGCAUAUCAGCUGGCCCGAGAGGGUCUUGGCUAAUCUUUUGAACCGGCGCCGUGCUUGGGAUUGACCAUUGCAAUUGUUGGUCAUGCAACGAGGAAUGCCUUGUAAACGCGAGUCAUCAGCUCGCAUUGAAUACGUCCCUGCCCUUUGUACACACCGCCCGUCGCUCCUACCGAUGAAUGUUCCGAUGAAAUUUUCGGAGAGCGCCAGAGAACGGGGCUCCGCCUUGCAGAUCUGGAGGCUCAAAGUCACUUAAAUCUGAACAUUUCGAGGAAGGAGAAGUCGUAACAAGGUAGCCG